CUUGAAAUUGUCUUAUUUCUUUCUUCCCCAAAAAGCGGAGCUCUUGCCAUCUCCCUCCUCUCUGCUGAUCAGUGACCACCACCAGCGAGGCCAACAGCCGCCUGUCGCUUCCGUAGGAUUUCUCUUCCUCUAUGAUCGAUGAACAACACCAACAAUAGCUGAUACAAGCAGCGCGCAGCGAGAACAACCAACCGUCAAGAAUCAGCAACUCCGUCAGCAGCAGCAGCUCCGGCGAAGGCGAGACGAGUAUCACCGGAGAAAGGAGAUGUUGCUCACCCUCUGCUCGUUAUCUUCCCCUCUCUACUUUUUCCGGUGGACAGCAGCUCAACAGAGCAAGCAUUAGUCCUCAGGCCACAAUUUCAAAUCAUCAGUAUUGGCUAUUGAGGCAUCCGCCAGAUCUAUAUGUUGUCAAUACAUGUAAUGCAGAACUAUAGUAGAAGAUGCAAGAAUUGUGGCCUACUGAUUGUCUUUUCUUCUGUAGAAGGAAUGGGGAUACUAUUUGUUGUUUCUUUUUCUUUCAUUUUUUCAUGUGUCCGUUACAUUUCUUUUGAGCGGGGGAUUUAUUACUGACAACUUCUCUACACCGCAAGGGUUGAGGUAAGGUAUGCAUGUAUCUUACACUCUCAAGACCUCAAUAGGUAUGUUGUUGUAUAUUAUCUUACUCCAAAGUAUCAAAAUAAUUCUUAGAUUUUCUUUUAAAUUUCAUACAAGUUUCGUAGAAAGUGGAAAUCAAGACUAAUAUCUAGAGAAGUGCUCGUAAUAGUAUUUUGAGAAGCAACCUCCAUUUUGUUGCCUUAGUUUUGUUAAUGUUUAGUAAAUUUUACUUAAUAGUAGUUUUCCUUAAGGAAUAUGUAAUGAAAUAUCAUCUCAUGAAUGACAUUUUAGUUCAUAAGUAUUAUAUGUUAGUAUAAUUAUGAUA